ensembl:lncRNA
AAGUCUCAAGUUAAAACUGGACGAACAAGAUGUAUCAGAAAGGUGCACCACCCUGAACACAAUAUGAAAAUAAAAAUGGCAGUGCAGCCCUAUUAUUCACCUCCUGAAGAAGCUUUCUCUGUGAGCUGCUGUAGGUUCUCUGGUCUGCUCCAGACUCUCACUGGGCAUCACAGGCUCGAUUAUCCAGCGCAGCUCUUGUCUCGAUGUGACUGCAUUGACAGUGGCGAUAAAAGGGCUUUUGGAAAUCUGCAUCUCGACCUGGCUGAAAAGAGGAGAGAAACAAAAGAAAGAUGUGUCACUGCAAAAGAUUCUUGUCAGAAGUGCAGUUUAAACAGAGAACAGAGACCAUAUGGGAACAAUGGAACUUCUUGAGUCUGUGACUCUGUAACUUGGCAUCAGAAGUGGGAUUUGAACUCAUACCUCCAUUCAGAGACCAAAAACCUCAUGUCCUGAGAAGGCUGAAAGUGCUUGAGUGUAGCACUCUGCCAUUCUGACACCUAAUGCUGCUAUCUUGUUAAUCAGUCAUAACAGUAGAGCCUGCCUUAUGGCAAUGCAAAUAUGUAAAAUGCUACUAAAUAAAUUAUUUUGAAACUUAGCA